rnacentral:rRNA from 1 species
UACGGAGGGGGCGAGCGUUAUUCGGAAUUAUUGGGCGUAAAGAGCGUGUAGGCGGCCAGGUAGGUCUGGUGUGAAAACUCGAGGCUUAACCUUGAGAUGUCAUCGGAAACCAUUUGGCUAGAGUCCGGAAGAGGAAAGUGGAAUUCCUGGUGUAGCGGUGAAAUGCGCAGAUAUCAGGAAGAACACCAAUGGCGAAAGCAGCUUUCUGGGACGGUACUGACGCUGAGACGCGAAAGCGUGGGGAGCGAACAGG